AUUGAACGCUGGCGGCAGGCCUAACACAUGCAAGUCGAGCGGAUGAAGGGAGCUUGCUCCUGGAUUCAGCGGCGGACGGGUGAGUAAUGCCUAGGAAUCUGCCUGGUAGUGGGGGAUAACGUCCGGAAACGGGCGCUAAUACCGCAUACGGCCUGAGGGAGAAAGUGGGGGAUCUUCGGACCUCACGCUAUCAGAUGAGCCUAGGUCGGAUUAGCUAGUUGGUGGGGUAAAGGCCUACCGAGGCGACGAUCCGUAACUGGUCUGAGAGGAUGAUCAGUCACACUGGAACUGAGACACGGUCCAGACUCCUACGGGAGGCAGCAGUGGGGAAUAUUGGACAAUGGGCGAAAGCCUGAUCCAGCCAUGCCGCGUGUGUGAAGAAGGUCUUCGGAUUGUAAAGCACUUUAAGUUGGGAGGAAGGGCAGUAAGUUAAUACCUUGCUGUUUUGACGUUACCAACAGAAUAAGCACCGGCUAACUUCGUG
rnacentral:rRNA from 1 species